AUUGAACGCUGGCGGCAUGCCUUACACAUGCAAGUCGAACGGCAGCGGACCUUCGGGUGCCGGCGAGUGGCGAACGGGUGAGUAAUAUAUCGGAACGUACCUUUCAGUGGGGGAUAACGUAGCGAAAGUUACGCUAAUACCGCAUAUUCUGUGAGCAGGAAAGCAGGGGAUCGCAAGACCUUGCGCUGAUUGAGCGGCCGAUAUCAGAUUAGCUAGUUGGUGAGGUAAAGGCUCACCAAGGCGACGAUCUGUAGCGGGUCUGAGAGGAUGAUCCGCCACACUGGAACUGAGACACGGUCCAGACUCCUACGGGAGGCAGCAGUGGGGAAUUUUGGACAAUGGGCGCAAGCCUGAUCCAGCCAUGCCGCGUGCGGGACGAAGGCCU
rnacentral:rRNA from 1 species